UUAUAUGUUGCACAAUUUUCUCCUUAUUAUUUUCCCACUGGGUUUAAAGGAGUUUUAGCAACAUAUCUACACUAUUCUCCUCAUAUUUUUCCCACAGGGUUUUUGGAGGAGACUUUAAAGAUUAUACAACGAUUUUUCAAGAUGAAGAUGAGGAACAUUCUUAAAGAGAAAAAUUUACAAGGAUUAUUAUUUAUCAAGAUGAUGCACAUUUACAAAGACAAGCAUGGAUUAGGAGGAGUGUUAGGAAUUAAUUAAAUGUAUUAAUUAAUGAGAUAAUCCCUGCGUUGCCGGUUGCCUUGUUUUAGCAACCGUUCCUUGUAAACCGCCUCUGUAACAGGGGUAUAAAUACCCACAUCUUCAUCAAUGAAAAGACUGUUCCAUCAUUCUGCCACUUUCACUACUUUACACAAACCUCAUGGCAGGUCGCACCACGCCCUCAUAGAUCAUAGUUGUCCACGUGUGUCAUCGGUUGUCGCGGCAACCUCACGUCCCGGCUGCAGGCAUGCUCGCCAUUCCUGUUGGUUACAGCUCCCGCCAUGAUACAAUUGCGUCGUCCUCACAAUCGCCGCUCACCUGCAUAAGGUUCCAUGAACGAACGACCAUAAGGUCACACCAUGGAAAGAAUGUAGCAAAAGACCGUGCGAGUCGUAGCAAAAAGCGAUGAUGGUUGCACCAAAAAAACAACAUCGCCGUUGUAGCAAGUCACAACUCUUUCGUGAAUGGAUGUAGCAAAAACUCCCACUAGUCGUAGCAAAUAGGGAUAAAGGUUGAAGCAAAAACAACAUCGUCGCCGUCACGAUUCGCAUCACCCCGUGCACCACCGCUCAAGUUUUGUUGUCGCCACUUUCCAUCGUCAGCUCGUUGUUCAUCCGUUGAAGCUUUUCACAAGACCCAUUGCAGCUAUCUGACAACUGGUUGUAGCUUUUUCAGUUUCAUGCAGUGGUCAUCCUAUUUGAAAGUAUUUAGAAGCUCAUUGUAGCAAAACAAAAAAACGGUUGUAACAAAAUGACAUGUAUCAUCGUCCAGUUCCAGCACUACUCAUGUGUGGAUGUAGCCUUUUCAUGGGUCGGUUUCAACAAAAAAAUCAUCGCUUGCAGCACUCGAGGCCGUCAUCUCCACCAUCGGUAGUAGCUGUGACGGUGUAGUGAGAACCAUGGCCUCACAAACCUUUUAGGCAUGGGGUCUUGACGGCAUAGGGUUGUUGCAAAGCCGCCCGGCAAGGAGCCGAUCUUGCUGGCACACAACAUGCCCAACAAGCACUAUAUCCAUGAAUAAGACCAAGAGCUCGCCAGAGAGCAGAUUUCUCGUGGCGGUACACAUUCCCGGCAAGACAGAACCGGCAAGACAAGAUCCGGCAAGGCUAAGCCGGCAAGCUCAAUGCUGACAAACUCCCUAUCACUCCUGCACUCACACAUGUCCCCAAUAGGUUGUGCGCGUGAGUGGCGGGCGUGCAUGCGCUUAGGUAGAGCUUGUCGGCUACGUGGUGAACCACCGCUCCAGAGUCAACUUUAUCAACACCCCUCUACAUACAUGUCAUCACCGGCAUUCAACCCAUGUAAUUACCAUUUUUUAUUCACAUAUUGUCAUGCAUCCGACAUGACCAAGCCACAACGUAUCACGUCCCACGUGACUAGGCUGUCCACGAGCCUGUCACCAUUUCACAAGUUAUUAACUCAACCAUGCAUGAAAUCAUACCACAUGACAUGUUAUUAAUUCAUAUGCAUCAAGCUUAUCAAGCAAUCAUGUCAGCAAACAUCACAUAAAAUGUUCAAACAUGCUUGCCUAGGUCGACGAAGUCGGAGUCUAGCUCGGCGACGUUGACUGCAACGUCUGUUCCUUCGGUAUCUAUGCCACACAAAUAUCGGGUUCUACCGUAAACACCGAGCAUGAAAUAAAUGUUGUCUCAAAAUAUUUUUAAAUAAAUAUUAGAAAAAACUAGCCAACAGAAUAAAGUUUUCAAAAAAAAAGAAUCAACUCAAAAACCUUUUUAGUUUAAAAUUUAUGAAGAAAACAAAAUGAGGGACGUAUCUGUGAUAACCAGAAAGUUACCCUGGGGCAUACUAGAAAAGAAGAAAACGCUUCGAUUGAAAUACACAAGGUAGAAGGGAAGGCACAUUCCGGUAGAAAGGCGCUUCUGGAAAAUGCUUCGAAAAGAAAAGAAUCCUGAUAGUGGGCCACCACUGUGAGGAUUGAAUCUCCACACCGGCGGCAGAGAGCUCGCUGCUUCGCCGGCGAUGGUGCGCUGCGAACUAGAGAGGGGGGAGGGGACAUGCGCACUCACAUGAUUCCUCCGCAAUGGUGGGUGGUGGAAGGGUUCGUGGGCGAGCACCACGUCGAUGUCGACUCCCACUGCAGCGGAUGGCGGCUUCGAGUGCAGGUCGAUCUCGCCGGAAGGACCUGCAACAAUCGAAUUGGGGCAGGGAUUAGAGGUGCAUGUGCUCAAGGAGUCUACUGGCCAAGUUAGGGCUGCGGAGGCACGCUCACUAGAGUGAAUUUUGCCGGAACCCAAAGCUGAUUGGGGCUACCGGAGGAGGGAAAGACGACCCUCCCUAGGUCCUUCGAGGGGCUGGGGGUGGGUCUGCUGAGAGGUGGAGAGCUGUUGGGUUGCUGUGGAGGCUUGGGGUCCUCUAUUUAUAGGCGUGCGAGGAGGUGCCGAAGCGGGGUUAAUUCCGGAGCCGAUCACGGCGAUCCAGAGGGAUCCAUAGAUGCUUACGACGGCUGGGACACCUACAACAAUUCUAGGGGGUCCCAUUUUACCAAUGAUCGAGCUCUAAUCCACGGUGAUUCCGUUGCUCGAUGGAACGACGCUCAUGGGCGCGGCGGCUGUAGAAGGCGCGCUCUAUGCCUCUCAGGACAUGACGACGAUGUUGUAGCAUGCACAGGGUGGGGGACAGACACGCGGGGUCUCUUGGUGGCUUAGGCGGUGCUGGACUGCGCUGAUUUGCACAAGGGGCUCUAGUGGACGAAACGGGGGUCGCUGAAGCCGUGGUUGUGGCCGACGCUG
rnacentral:lncRNA from 1 species